rnacentral:rRNA from 1 species
GUGCCAGCAGCCGCGGUAAUUCCAGCUCCAGGAGCGUCUGUGUGUGUUGCUGCGGUUAAAGAGUGCGUAGUCUGAUUAAUUGCCAGCAAUAAAGGUGCGGUCUUUAGCUGUGCAUUAUGCUGGUACUUUGAUCUAGGGACUGGAACAGGGCAAUGGUAUUCGACAGCGAGGGGUGAAAACUGAUGACCUGUCGAGGAGCGACUGAGGCGAAAGCGGUUGUCUGGGACGGGUUCGACGAUCAAGCGCGUGAGCAGGAGGAUCGAAGGCGAUUAGAGACCGUCGUAGUUCCUGCAGUAAACGAUGCCAACGGGAAUGCAAGGAAUGUGUUCCGAGGGAAACCGAGUGUAUGGGCUCCGGGGAUAGUACAGGCGCAAGCCAGAAACUUGAAGAAAUUGACGG